AUACGUAGGGUGCAAGCGUUAAUCGGAAUUACUGGGCGUAAAGCGUGCGCAGGCGGUUUUGUAAGACAGAGGUGAAAUCCCCGGGCUCAACCUGGGAACUGCCUUUGUGACUGCAAGGCUAGAGUACGGCAGAGGGGGAUGGACUUUCGCGUGUAGCAGUGAAAUGCGUUGAUAUGCGGAGGAACACCUAUGGCGAAGGCAUUCACAUAGGCCGGGACUGACUCUCAUGCACGCAAGCGUAGGGAGCAAACACGAUUAGAUACCCUGUUAGUCCACGCCCUAAGCUAUGUCAACUGGUUGUUGGGUCGUCAUUGACUCAGUAACGAAGCUAACGCGUGAAGUGGACCGCCUGGGGAGUACGGCCGCAAGGUUGAAACUCAAAUGAAUUGUCGGGG
rnacentral:rRNA from 1 species